GAAUAUUGGACAAUGGGCGAAAGCCUGAUCCAGCCAUGCCGCGUGGAUGAUGAAGGCCCUAGGGUUGUAAAGUCCUUUCGACGGGGAAGAUAAUGACGGUACCCGUAGAAGAAGCCCCGGCUAACUCUGUGCCAGCAGCCGCGGUAAUACAGAGGGGGCAAGCGUUAUUCGGAAUUAUUGGGCGUAAAGGGCGCGUAGGCGGCUUUUCAAGUGGCGGGUGAAAUCCCACGGCUUAACCGUGGAACUGCCUGCCAGACUGGAUGGCUUGAGGCCGGGAGAGGUGAGUGGAAUUCCCAGUGUAGCGGUGAAAUGCGUAGAUAUUGGGAGGAACACCAGUGGCGAAGGCGGCUCACUGGACCGGAACUGACGCUGAGGCGCGAAAGCGUGGGGAGCAAACAG
rnacentral:rRNA from 1 species